rnacentral:rRNA from 1 species
UACGGGGGGGAGCAAGCGUUGUUCGGAUUUACUGGGCGUAAAGGGCGCGUAGGCGGCGUGACAAGUCACUUGUGAAAUCUCCGGGCUUAACUCGGAACGGUCAAGUGAUACUGUCGUGCUAGAGUACAGAAGGGGCAACUGGAAUUCCCAGUGUAGCGGUGAAAUGCGUAGAUAUUGGGAAGAACACCUGAGGCGAAGGCGGGUUGCUGGGCUGAUACUGACGCUGAGGCGCGAAAGCCAGGGGAGCAAACGGG